GCGGACUACGGUUCUAAUUCCGAUGACGUAUGAGCUUGCGUAACCUAGUUUUCUGUUUGCCAGUCCCGGUAAUGAGUUGUCUAGUCUCCUCUCGGUCCUUGUUCCGUUUCGUUCCUGUCCCUUCCACCUGUAACCGCCGAAUCGUACCAGUGUCUCGCGCCACUACGCGUGUUGCUCGCGCGUGUCGUAAAUUACACGGCUGAUGGAUAAUCGUGAGUAACUUUCGAACGGAAUUUCGUGGGUGAAAAGAAGGACGGAGGAGGAAAGCUGCCAGCCGUGAUAACGCGGCCACGAUGAGUUAUCGAGUUCGAGCACAUGGAGCGGAAUUAUUUUUAAUGGAAAGGGAAGGAGUAUCGGAUUUUCACCCGGCGAACAUUUUACGAGGGUAAAGAAUUGAUAUUGGAUAGAAAUUCUUUUUGGUUAACACUACUAUUUACUUGUAUACCAUUCACGAGGACAUGUUUAUAAGGAAUUUUUAUUCGGGUUCGUUGUCGCACUUAAACGAGUUGUACCUCUCGUAAAUUUUCAUAUCGUCCCCAUACCGUUACGGUUACAACAAACUGAUAUUCGAAACGAAUCGGACACUCAAACGGUAACAAGGAUAAAGCAGAAGUUCAAGUCCUUUCAAGCGAGAAGGAACGAGAGCGGCGCGGAUAUCGAGGAUAUCUUCCGCGUAAAUGAGAACGCGGCGCGCAUAGACGAACGAGGAGAUAAAAAUAAAGAAACACGGUACGGAUCGACGAGUUUUAACGAGCGUAACGAGCGUCCGUGUUUAUUAAAUCGAUCAUCUUAUCGCAGAGCCGCGACGAUUCCGACUGGAUAGACGGCAAAAUUUACCCCCGAGACGUGAGCAGCAUCGGUGUCCCCUUCGCGGGACUCGGUGUGCCUCGCGAAGGAUAUACCGGGGAAAGAUAUAUCGUCCGGGCGGGACGUUUCCACCCCCUUAUUUCGCGUUCCAACCCGAAGCGAAAGCCUGCGAGAGGACACCAAACGAGCCUCAACUUUACCGCUGACAUCUCGAGUGUCCAAAUAAAUAAUGUUCCUUAUUUGUUAUAGGGAUUGUGCCCGGCAACGGAUGAAAUCUGCGGCUGCCGCGGCACAGCCAGACUGCAAAUCCGACUGAUUAACUGCGCCCUUCGUUGCGACGAUAAUUGCUCUACAAAUACAGCGAAUUCAUUGCCACGACGUAUCGGCGACACGCUCUGUUACAUGAAUGUAGUAUUAAAAGCAUAUAUUCACUAGAUUCGCAGAAAGUAAUGCUCACUAGACUUGCAGUAUGUAACAUAAAAAAUGAAAUAAA